UCCACGCCGUAAACGAUGAUAACUCGUUGUUGGCGAUACACAGUCAGCGACUAAGCGAAAGCGAUAAGUUAUCCACCUGGGGAGUACGAUCGCAAGGUUGAAACUCAAAGGAAUUGACGGGGGCCCGCACAAGCGGUGGAGCAUGUGGUUUAAUUCGAUGAUACGCGAGGAACCUUACCUGGGCUCAAAUGCAGAGUGACAGUCCCUGAAAGGGGAUUUUCUUCGGACAGUCU
rnacentral:rRNA from 1 species